CCGCGUUCUUCUCCCCGCGCGCCCACGGCCUCCCCCUUCCCUGAGUCUCUUCCUCUGCGGCUCACCCACCCCACUUCCUCCAGGGACGUCUCCCCAGUCAGCCAACCUCAAAGGCCGGCUCAGCCCUCACCGUCGGGGCUGCACUCUGUGAUGGGAGCUGACCCCAGCUUCCUCCGCUGCGGAAGGCCAUGCUGGUUUCCGCGGGUCCGGGUUACCUAGGCGACGUGGGCGACGCGAAACUCUCCUUCCACGCAUGCGCAGGUCCCUCCCCGGCCCCAGCGCUCCGGGCGUGUUAGGCUCUCCCACAGGAGGUGUCGCCUCUGAGGGAUGCCCACCUCCAACCUGCGUCGGUUCCCCGGGCAUCGCAUCUUGCUCCUCCCUGUACCUCUCACCCUUGUGCACCUCCAAUACCUAGCCUGGGGGGCUCGUGUUUGUUGAGUGAAUGAGUGAGGGGCUGGGGAGACUGGCCCGUAGAGAAUUCUGUAGGAGCGGACUUGGCAGAGAGAGGCAGUGCUUCCUGGGAUCCCCUUCCAAAGAAACUACUUGCUCCCAAAUCCUUGCCUCAGGCUCUGCUUUGGAGGGAAUCCAAACUAUGACCCUAACCUCCCACUUUCUCCGUGUCUGCCCCCAGUCUGCUGAAAACUGGAGAAAGCAAUUCUGGUAGCUCUAUGUUAAAAUUUGUGUUCGGUGACGUCAGAUGCAGGAAUAGACACGGAGGAAAAUUCAUCUGGGAGUAUAACAGCCAAUGGAUUCAACGGAGGCAAAGCUGGAGGCAGGGAGGCCAGCGGGAGGCCAUCACCCUCAGCCCUCUACAAGAAGCCCAGAGCGGGCUGGAGGUGGCUGUGGAAGACAGUCAGGAAUUGGUGAUUAUUUCAGAUACAAGAUCGCAUGUUAACCACACACGAAACUUGUAUUUUGGAAGGCAGGGCCGAGAUAAACGCUCUCUGGCUUCUGUAUUUAAGCAGAGCUCUUCGUCAAAGGAAACGGAAACAUUUGCCAGUUGAGGAAUGGAAAAACCGCACACGCUUAUCUGCCAGAGCUAUUUUGCUUAUAGACGAUCUAACAUUAGUCCAACAGUGGAGGUGAUUUUCCAUACUCGCCCCGCCUCCUACCACCUUCUUUGAGGCAUCGAACGCUCCACCUACUUCCUCUUCAUUUUGUCUCGGCAAGGACUCUUGUUUGUAUCUUUGCCUUGUGGCUUUAUGACUUUUGGAUUGUGUGUGUGUGUGUGUGUGUGUGUGUGUCCCACUGAAAUAUGUACCAAAGUCCUCCCUGUUGCCUUGGUAAAUCUGUAUCUGGGAAUAAACCAAACAGGGAAAAA